CCACACGCAAGUGGUAAGACCCCUUGGAGACGACGAGGUAGAUAGGCAGGAGGUCGAAGCGUAGCAAUACGUGUAGCUGACCUGUACUAAUCGGUCGAGGGCUUAUCCUAUA
rnacentral:rRNA from 1 species